AUAGUACAAUUAAUCGAUAAUUCACUACAAUUAAGUUAAUUUUGUCCACCCCUAUUGUAAACCAUAGCAAAAAAUAAAAAUUGUUGUUUUUCCAACCAUUGAUCCAUGAGAUUGCAAACGCACUCCAACUUCCACUCAUGCCUUUCUUUUGUUGUCUAGGCUGUACAAAUGGUCCUAUAUUGGGAAAUAUCAUCUCCAAUGUGUUGUUCCUUUUGAAGCUUUAUUUCUAUAGUUCUUGGGACGGUUCUGAACUGUUGAAGAAGUGGAAAGAAGGUGAAAGUUGCCAAAAUUGUUAGAAUGGUCCCAGUGAAUGGGCUGCCACAUGGGAGCUGGCAUGGCAAUUAGAAUAGUAGUGUCCCUGGGAAGUGGACCAUGGGAUCAGCUAUUUGGUGGAGGAAACUCCCCAGCCUUUGCAGUAGGAGCUGUUUCAACCAUUAUCAGUGGACUCAUAGCUAUCUUGGCUAUUCCUCGAUCUGGUGCUCAAAAGGCUCGAAGUCAUGCGUGAGGUAUCAUGUUCAUGUUAAAGCAUUUAUUUCUUUCGAAGGAGGAGGGUGAAAAUGAACAGGUAGCAAGAAUUUGUACAUAGUUAUUUUUUAUUGUAUCCUUUUUCCCGAGCAAAGAUUUCACUCUCAAUUGUCCUCUAAUAAAAUAAAUGUAUGUUUGUUGUAUUGUACUUUAAUAUUAUUGGUCAUUAUUUGAAGCAAAAUGACCUGUUUUCUGAGUGUUAUUAUUUUCUGAAGCAAAGAAAGCUCUAGGAACAAUUUUUGUGUGUGAUCCUGAUGAGCCAGUUGUCUGUUUAAAACAGUGAGGUUGGUUGGCUAUGUAAAUCAUGAGACAUGACAAGCUGUAGAAAAGGGUGAAUGAAUACUCUUGAUGUCAAAGGAACGAUCUAAAACAGAAAAUUUAUAUAUCAUUACCUUUCCCAUCAUCUUGGAAUCUCAUGUAAAUAUGAUAUCAUAAAAGCUGUCACCAAAUUCUGGUUGAAAUAUUGUGCAAUCAGUGGAGACCUUCCUCAUUGUAAAUUAGUUCUUCUCGUGCAAGAUGUUCCUUUCGUGGCUAAUUGCAAAGUAGUUAUGGCAUCUUCCAUGGGUUCUAAAGUUCAUCUCAGGCAACAUUCUUUCCCACCAACACGAGUUGCUGCUGAUUUGGAAUUAUUCGAGAUGAAAUAUUGGUUUUUUUAAAGGCAAUUCUGGUUGUGUAUUAGUGCUGCUAUAUUGAAGUGUUGGAAUCUUCUACAUUUGUGUGACUUGUUUGUAUUAGUGGGAUGAACGUGUUUAGUGGCCAACACUGAGUAUGUGAAUUUUUCUGAUGGAAAACCUUGAUGGAGACAUGCCUAUAAUGCUCCUUAUUUUGGUAUAAGUAUUUUUCUUUCAAAAAGAACAAAAUUCUUCAA